rnacentral:rRNA from 1 species
AGCGAACGCUGGCGGCAGGCCUAACACAUGCAAGUCGAACGAACUCUUCGGAGUUAGUUGCGGACGGGUGAGUAACACGUGGGAACGUGCCUUUAGGUUCGGAAUAACUCAGGGAAACUUGUGCUAAUACCGAAUGUGCCCUUCUGGGGAAAGAUUUAUCGCCUUUAGAGCGGCCCGCGUCUUAUUAGCUAGUUGGUGAGGUAAAGGCUCACCAAGGCGACGAUCAGUAGCUGGUCUGAGAGGAUGAUCAGCCACAUUGGGACUGAGACACGGCCCAAACUCCUACGGGAGGCAGCAGUGGGGAAUCUUGCGCAAUGGGCGAAAGCCUGACGCAGCCAUGCCGCGUGAAUGAUGAAGGUCUUAGGAUUGUAAAAUUCUUUCACCGGGGACGAUAAUGACGGUACCCGGAGAAGAAGCCCCGGCUAACUUCGUG